rnacentral:rRNA from 1 species
UAAUGCCUAGGAAUCUGCCUGGUAGUGGGGGACAACGUUUCGAAAGGAACGCUAAUACCGCAUACGUCCUACGGGAGAAAGCAGGGACCUUCGGGCCUUGCGCUAUCAGAUGAGCCUAGGUCGGAUUAGCUAGUUGGUGAGGUAAUGGCUCACCAAGGCGACGAUCCGUAACUGGUCUGAGAGGAUGAUCAGUCACACUGGAACUGAGACACGGUCCAGACUCCUACGGGAGGCAGCAGA